GAGUAACUAUGACUCUCUUAAGGUAGCCAAAUGCCUCGUCAUCGUAUACGAUCAAAAGCGUGCGCGGUCUAGCUUUGUACUCCGAUUGCUGAAUCGUCGAGUCGCUAGAUGCGUAUUGCAGCCAAGCGUGAGUGGGGUACUCGUUACUCGCUUGCAUUGGGGUGUGCCUAUCUAACGAGAGAUAGACUGCUCGCUUGAGGCGUUAAGCGUGGAGUAUGGUUCGGUCCGAUUCAGUUCGGCCAACCGAAAGAUGCGUUUACGCUCGAGGCGUGGUACGUCCGCACUCGUUCCUCCAGUCGCUAGCCCGAUUGACUCGUUCAGUCGGUUGGGCGCUUGUCGUCAAAUUGCAGGAAUCGGUCCAGGCGCUUAGGCGCUUGGCUGAGACUAGCAGCCAAGCCAGAAGGGCCAUCAGUCCAAUCGGUUCGAUUCAGUUCGGGUCGAGCGGGCGUUAACGGGCUCGGACGGAAGGUCCAGAGACUGAAAGGCGAUACAAGCGUGGGGUUAAAGUAACAGUCCGCAUUUGAUUCGAGCCAUCGAACAGUGAUUGCACGCUUGAGGCAUCACUCGGUAGUAGGCUCACCCAGACGGUCUCGACCUCGUCUCUCGAUUGCUGAAUCUGAGACGUAACAGAGGCGUUGAAGACGCGCGCAACCUCACCCUUCUCGAUUAGCUGAUCGGGAUGUGGUGUAACCGAGUGCGUUGGAUACGUUCGACCUCGCCUUUCCUGAUUAGCUGAAUCGGACGUGGCGUAACUGUAGCCGCCUGGGCGGUGUGCCAACAAUAUGACACGGUACGCGCAAAGCACGCUCACAAAUGCGUUAAUUUGUGACGCGCAUGAAUGGAUUAAUGAGAUUCCCACUGUCCCUACCUACUAUCUAGCGAAACCACAGCCAAGGGAACGGGCUUGGCACAAUUAGCGGGGAAAGAAGACCCUGUUGAGCUUGACUCUAGGCAUAGACGCGAGGUGAUUCUAAAGGUGUAGCAUAGGUGGGAGGGCCCAGCCCGAUCCUGAAAUACCACCACUUUCGACAUCGCUUUGCUAAUGCUGUAACGAAUGAACGAUCCCCCGUUCCAGAGGUCCGCAAGGGCUGAAGUCGGGUAAGAUCAUAUUCUGGCGUCUUCCACGGUUGCAUGAUGGGUUAGCUAACCUAGGAUAGUACUUCGGAUCCACGAGACGGGCUUCCGGGUCUGGCGAGUGUUGCGUUCGGGGGAACUAGGCGUGAGAGCUCAUCCUCUGCAGCCAAAAUGGUACAUAGUCAGUAGCAGGCUAUCUAUGUUGGGGAGUUUGGCUGGGGCGGAAACCUACCACACGGCAACGGCAGUCUCCUAAGGUCCACUCAGAGACGACAGAAACGUCUCGUAGAGCAUAAAGGCAAAAGUGGGCUUAACUCACGUUUUCAGUAGUAAUGUGAAGCAAGAAAUUGAGGCUUAACGAUCCUUAGCGGCGGGUGCCAGCCCACGCUUGAGGUGAGAGAAAAGCUACCACAGGGAUUGAUAAUAACACGGGGUACCGGAGGAUUCGAAGGCGUCCAACGCUAGAGAGACCACCGGUACCUGGGUACGGGGGCACGUCUCAUUCCCUUCCAUGAUUGGGUUCAGCAUACGAGUCGGGCGAGCGCACGAGGUUGAUGUCGACUAUUACACCGAAGGCGUUCGAUUAGCGUAUCUGGACUGGAGGGUUAGCCUAAUCGCUACUAGGCUGGACCGAAUGGGGUGUGCCAAUCUAACCCGUAUCCUCCUCAUCGUAUAACAUCGUCUGAUCAGCGAUGGGUCGGUUACCUUUCAACCGGCUCCGAUGGGAUGGGUAACUUUGGUUUGCGAUUAAACGAGUCCCAAUAACUCGAGUCUCCGAGUCCGAGUGCAGUCGAGCCAAUCGAUUGCGCAAAGGCGAAGAGGCGACAUACCUGGAUGCUGGAACGGUUCCCAUCGAUAAGGAUAGUGCGGUACCAAGCGUACAUAGGUAAUACCUAUGCGUGGAGUUCGCUACUGGCUCUUGCGAGAGGUGGUGCGAGCGGGUCAUAAUCCGCCUAUCCGGGGACCUAAUCAGCAGGCAACAAGGCUACCCCAGCUACAGCAUAACAGGAGUAUGCGUGACGAUCGCCUUAACAAAGCGAGUCCGCUCCGCCCUUGCAACGUAGCAGGUCAAAACGGGAGCUGCGUGUCUCAAUCGACUGGAAAGGUAUGGGCGGUGAUGGGCGUAAGCGAGUACCUUCGGGUGCGCGUGAUACGUGCGGAACUGCCAUCGUUUAAGGUACAGUCUCAGCCUUUAAGGCGCUUAAAGCGACCCAGUCGCAGGUAGCGCUUAGUACGGUCUCGGCUCGAUCGAAUUUCGAUCGGGUCGUACGUAUGCCCCAAAGGCUUUAAACGGCGGAUCGUGCGGGCCAGUCAAUCGACCGGCCCAAUCGAAUCAAAUGAGUCGGUCGACCGAGCAAUCGGUUGGUUGGCUCGAGUCAGUCGACCGAGCAAUCGGUUGAUUGGCUCAGCCCAGUCGAUCGAGCGAUCGAUUGAUUGGGCUAGCCCAGUCGGCUGAGCGAUCGGUCGACUGGGCUAAAAGGCGGGAGGCGUAUAAAGGCUAGUCGAACCGAUCAAGUCGGGGGACUGGACCUAGCCCAGUCGACUGAGCAAUCGGUUGGUUGGGCUGAAAGGCGUGCGUAAAGCCCAGUCGACCGAGCAAGCGGUUUGAUUGGGCUAGCCCAGUCGGUUGAGCAAUCGGUCGACUGGGCUAAAGACGGGGUGGCGAUUCAAACAGUACAUAAACAAUACGGUGCGAGACGAUACUAAACCACAAGCCAAUAACAAAAGCGACUUAUUAAACGAGACGAAACACACACACGAGUGACCUAUAUAUACACACACACUCGAUUAGACGGCGGAACUGGCUUGUGGCCGCCAAGCGUUCAUAGCGACGUGGC
rnacentral:rRNA from 1 species